CUCCAACCGGCUGACGAACUACGCAUGCACCUGGUCUCCCCGAGACGAACCGAGCAUGCGUCACCCUGUUUGGAGUUCGGUGGGUGCUUGAGAGUGGGACGGACGGAGAGAAAACGCUGAAAGAUGUCAUAUUACUCCAGAAGUUCCAGAGCUUCAGACUGCAAAGUCUAUGUCGGUGAUUUGGGAACAGGAGCUGCCAAAGGAGAGCUGGAGCGAGCUUUCAGCUACUAUGGCCCUCUAAGGAAUGUUUGGGUAGCACGGAAUCCUCCAGGCUUUGCUUUUGUGGAGUUUGAAGACCCCAGAGAUGCAGAAGAUGCUGUGCGUGGGAUGGAUGGCAAGGUUUUGUGUGGAUCAAGGGUGCGCGUUGAGCUGUCAAAUGGGAUGUCACGCAAGUCACGCUAUGGCCGCCCUCCUGCUCGUCGCCAGUUUGACCCUAAUGACCGUUGCUAUCAGUGUGGAGAGCGUGGCCACUAUGCCUAUGACUGCUACCGUUACAGCAAAAGAAGGCGUGGCAGCAGUCGAUCUCGAUCUAGGUCUCGUUCCCGUUCGAGAUCCAGAUCAAGGGGGCGUCGUUACACGAGAUCCCGAAGUCGCAGCCGCGAUCGCCGCACACGUUCCCGUUCUCCUUCGUAUUCUAAGAGGAGAAGUCGGUCCCUCACUCCAAUAAGGUCCAAAUCCAGAUCGCCAAUUGGAAGAAGGCUAUUACCUGCUUGAAGCCUGAUGAACGCCCCUUCAAGGUCACGGUCUAGAUCAAGGUCUUUUUCUAUUAAACGCGAAAGUCGUUCCCCUUCAGAAAGUUCUCGUAAGACCCCAAGUCCUGGAAGAGAUGACUGAAAUGCAAAGACUUUGAGAAGAUUGCAGCAAAGGGGCCCUCGUCACCUGACCACCUUUUAACUAACCUAGAUGUUUUAGUGCCUUUUUACGUGCAUGCAUUCCACAGAAAAGUGUUACUACUGUUCACUUAGCACGAGUAAAUGUUCUUAAUUGAAUGUUGUGAAACAAUUGUACAGCUUGUUCAAUGGACCUUCUUCAUUAGCUGGCAAGGGUUCAGUUAAAGUGCUGCAUUUCUUUGUAUUAAAUUUUACACAUUUAUCAAGUACGGAGAUUCUGCUUCAGUGAAUUUGUCGCAGUGUGCCAGGUAAUGUCAUGAAAAUUAAAUAAUUGAGAAUUUCUAAAAGUU